rnacentral:rRNA from 1 species
UACGGAGGGGGCUAGCGUUGUUCGGAAUUACUGGGCGUAAAGCGCGCGUAGGCGGCUCUGUAAGUUAGAGGUGAAAGCCCGGGGCUCAACUCCGGAAUUGCCUUUAAAACUGCAUCGCUAGAAUUGUGGAGAGGUAAGUGGAAUUCCGAGUGUAGAGGUGAAAUUCGUAGAUAUUCGGAAGAACACCAGUGGCGAAGGCGACUUACUGGACACAUAUUGACGCUGAGGUGCGAAAGCGUGGGGAGCAAACAGG